rnacentral:misc_RNA from 1 species
GGGUAAGGUAAAAGAGGGUUUUUGAAUGUUUUUAAAACUUCAAAAACCCUCAAUUUCUCAACCCGGGUGUUGGAAACAUUUUUAUAAAUUGAAUAUUAGUUAUUACCAAUACUUGCCUUUUCAUACCUUUGAUCCAAACAAUAUAAAAUUAGUAAACCAUCAUUUAUUUUACCUUCAUUUCAAACAACGUAAUAUUAAAAAGUUUUAAUUUACCUUGCUUUACCUCCUUACACCCCUUUCAAACGAAACAAAGUGUAAAGAAAGGAAAUGAAAACUUGAUCUUCAUUAUUGCCUUUUCAUAGGAGAAGCCUUGCACAGGCAAUAGGGAGCAAACCAAGAAUGCAUUAAAACGCAAUGCCCACCAGCUGUGGCAGAUCACUGCCUCACCUGGAAAGCCUGUGGUGUCAAUCCUUAUUCAACUGGGAAUCUGCCUGUAUAGGAGAUUCAAUUCUUGCAAAAAAGAACAGAAAUCAAUAAAGGUGAAGACUGAAAGGGAAAAAAGAAAUUCUUCGAGCGCAAAAAUGACAGAAAAUGUUGAGUAUCUGAUAGAUAGGCUUACUCAGGAACGAGAGUCCAAGUUCUAACUGAAUGAUACAAGCCACAGAUUACUGGGAAAUCUACACUACACAGGAUGCAUUAUGUUGUAUCCCAUAUUUUCUUUCCACAAUUGCAAUUGUGACUCCUAAAGGCAUCUAUGAGAAUUAGCAAAUACUCAUACAAACAUAGGAUAAAUUGAACUCAGCAGAUCAAUUUUAUGUAGCAAGUCAUUUACUGCAUUCAACAACAACAACUUCUUAAAUUCUAUGUACAGCUGCUAAAGGUAGGUAAGUGUGCUUGAUCAAAGUUCAUUGGAGUAAAGGCACUCAUCCACAAGUUGGCGCAGAUUCGGAUUCUCUAGUGCAGCAGCAACUCUUUCUUUAUCGUUUAACUGCUUAUUCACUGCCAAAGACAAAUGGCAGAAACAGUUUAGCUAGGGGCGCUAGACAGAGAUCAACUAGAUGCAUAAAGGGGACAAUCACAUGUAGCAUCCUAAUACUCGGAAAAAAAAAAAAAGGGCACAAACACAAACAGAGAUGAAAAGAGCAAAAGCCAGUAUCUCUUCAUACCUCUCACAUAAAUAUCAAGGUUGAGAUAUGUUAGUGAACGGGUAUGAACAUGCUCUAGGGUGAUAACUGGACUAGUUGAAUAAAUUAACAUGUAUGCUUUCUAGCAUGAAGGCAACAUAAAUGGACAAGGUAGCAAAACAAAAAGCACCAAAACUAAUGCCAAGUUUAACUUCACCAGAUUCUUCAUCAGCAUGAGAUCCGGGAGAAACUUUAAUGUCAACCUGUGGAAAAAGCAGCAUCAAACUUAUGAAUCAGAAAAUAUCUUAUAAUUAUGAAUUAUUCAAUACCAUUUUCAUAUCAAAAUGCAUUACUAUCCCCAAGUGUUCUUCCAAACAUGCAGAGAUGCCUAUGGUUAAAAGGCAUAAAAUAUGCAGGGCCAAAAAGAACCCAAAAUAGAUUGGCGUUGGAACUAAGUAUCAAUAUUCAAGCAUCUAAAAGAAAAGUUGCAAUGACUUGGUCUCCGUAGAAAAUUCAAACACAUCAUGAUAUUCUGCCUCAUGGCAGAUUAGUUAUUCACUGUAGGGCUUAUUAUUUCACUGGCAUGCAAUAUUUUUAACUUUUUCCUCCCGUGCGAAGCUGUUUCGGCUUCCAAUUGGAUUAGCACUUGUGUGCCGCAACAACCCAGAAAUAACCUGUAAAAAAGUCCCUACGUCCACUUAUAAAGUAUAACAUCCAUAUUGAUCCAAUUUAUCGAUUGCUAUAAUUUUUGCAAGCAAGUGCAUGUAAAUGAUCAAUUAUAUAUGCAAUAUGAAAUGAAUGGGGAAAUUGCUCAGCAACUUAGACUGCUAAACAUAUCAGGAAGUGAUAAAUGUAAGUUAGUCAUUCCAGAAACAAAGAUAUAGUACCAAUGUAUCAUAACACAGAUAAGAGCACAGAGAUAGAUAUAUAGCAAAUUUAGCAAUUAACACCAACACUGACCUUAUAAUGGGGAGGGAAACAUUCUUGUAAUUUUACUCUAAGACAAAGACCAAUAACUGUUGCCAUGCUGCAAUGUUGGAUGGUUGGAGUAAACGUAAUCAGAAUACGGCCGAGCUUGUCAUCAACAGUGAUCGAUUCCUCUGAGAGAACACUGAGCUGUUCCAAUGAAUAUGGAUGCUCUGGAUCUCUUAUAUCCCUCACAAAAUUUGCAGUUCCAGUCAAAGAUCACUUUUUUUUAAAAGAAAAUAUCAAAAAAGAAAAAAUAAUAAAAGAAAAGGCAUGAAAAACACUAUUAAACACUGAACUGAGUCCACAAAAAUUAAAAUCCACAAAAGAAAAACAGUAGCGCAGGAAAAGGAUAUCAUAGAUUUCAAGUGGAUCCACAGAGUCAUCGCAGUGAAGAUCUUCGGUGCGGGCGACCCUUUCCUUCUUAGCAUGAACCACCGGGUUGGCAUUGAUGAGACCCAGAGUCAUAUCUCUUGCUCUUGUGAUUUCUUCUGCUCUGUUUGUUGGCUUCCCUGUCUUGCUUUGUUAUUUUCUGUUGGGAGUCACAGGCAAUAAGGAAAGAGGAAUGGCUUUUCCCUGUGCUAAUCAAAGCGGGUCAUGUGAGUUUACUUUGCGAGUGAUUAGUGAUUUGCGCUGAAACCCGCAGCCGCAGUUGAUUCUCCGGUGUUAGGUGUCGGAUUA